GGUUCCGUGGUGCAGUUGGUUAGCGCAUCGUACUAAUACAUUGCCUGUCGGGUGAAGUAAUGCGAAAGUCGAGGGUUCGAGCCCCUCCGGGACCA
rnacentral:tRNA from 1 species